rnacentral:rRNA from 1 species
AUUGAACGCUGGCGGCAGGCCUAACACAUGCGAGUCGAGCGGAUGAAGGGAGCUUGCUCCUGGAUUCAGCGGCGGACGGGUGAGUAAUGCCUAGGAAUCUGCCUGGUAGUGGGGGAUAACGUCCGGAAACGGGCGCUAAUACCGCAUACGUCCUGAGGGAGAAAGUGGGGGAUCUUCGGACCUCACGCUAUCAGAUGAGCCUAGGUCGGAUUAGCUAGUUGGUGGGGUAAAGGCCUACCAAGGCGACGAUCCGUAACUGGUCUGAGAGGAUGAUCAGUCACACUGGAACUGGGACACGGUCCAGGCUCCUACGGGAGGCAGCAGUGGGGAAUAUUGGACAAUGGGCGAAAGCCUGAUCCAGCCAUGCCGCGUGUGUGAAGGAGGUCUUCGGAUUGUAAAGCACUUUAAGUUGGGAGGAAGGGCAGUAAGUUAAUACCUUGCUGUUUUGACGUUACCAACAGAAUAAGCACCGGCUAACUUCGUG